UACGUAGGUGGCAAGCGUUGUCCGGAAUUACUGGGUGUAAAGGGCGUGUAGGCGGAGCUGCAAGUCAGAUGUGAAAUCUCCGGGCUUAACCCGGAAACUGCAUUUGAAACUGUAGCCCUUGAGUAUCGGAGAGGCAAGCGGAAUUCCUAGUGUAGCGGUGAAAUGCGUAGAUAUUAGGAGGAACACCAGUGGCGAAGGCGGCUUGCUGGACGACAACUGACGCUCAUGCACGAAAGCGUGGGGAGCAAACAGG
rnacentral:rRNA from 1 species